rnacentral:rRNA from 1 species
UACGUAGGGGGCAAGCGUUAUCCGGAUUUACUGGGUGUAAAGGGAGCGUAGGUGGCAUGGCAAGCCAGAAGUGAAAACCCGGGGCUUAACCCCGCGGAUUGCUUUUGGAACUGUCAGGCUGGAGUGCAGGAGGGGCAGGCGGAAUUCCUGGUGUAGCGGUGAAAUGCGUAGAUAUCAGGAGGAACACCGGUGGCGAAGGCGGCCUGCUGGACUGCAACUGACGUUGAGGCCCGAAAGCGUGGGGAGCAAACAGG